GAUGAACGCUGGCGGCGUGCUUAACACAUGCAAGUCGAACGGAAAGGCUCCUGCUUGCAUUGGUACUCGAGUGGCGAACGGGUGAGUAACACGUGUGGGAUCUGCCCUUCACUUCGUGAGAAGCCUUGGAAACUGGGUCUAAUACCGGAGAGGACGAUGUUUUGCAUGCGAUUGUGGAAAGUUUUUCGGUGUUGGAUUAGCUCGCAGCCUAUCAGCUUGUUGGUUGGGUAAUUGCCUACCAAGGCGUCGACGGAUAGCCGGCCUGAGAGGGUGUACGGCGACCUUGGGCCUGAGAUAGGGACCAGAAUGCUACGGGCGGCAGCGGUGGGGAGUCUUGCACAAUGGCGGCAAGUGUGAUGCAGAGAUGUCGCGUGGGGGAUGCCGGCCUUCGGGUUGUAAACUCAUUUCGAUAGGGACGAAGAGAAAGUGACGGUACCUGGAGAAGAAGCCACGGCUAACUACGUG
rnacentral:rRNA from 1 species